AUUGAACGCUGGCGGCAUGCCUUACACAUGCAAGUCGAACGGCAGCACGGGAGCAAUCCUGGUGGCGAGUGGCGAACGGGUGAGUAAUAUAUCGGAACGUGCCCAGUAGUGGGGGAUAGCCCGGCGAAAGCCGGAUUAAUACCGCAUACGACCUGAGGGUGAAAGCGGGGGAUCGCAAGACCUCGCGCUCUUGGAGCGGCCGAUAUCAGAGUAGCUUGUUGGUGGGGUAAAAGCCUACCAAGGCGACGAUCUGUAGCUGGUCUGAGAGGACGACCAGCCACACUGGGACUGAGACACGGCCCAGACUCCUACGGGAGGCAGCAGUGGGGAAUUUUGGACAAUGGGCGCAAGCCUGAUCCAGCCAUGCCGCGUGCGGGAAGAAGGCCUUUGGGAUGUAAACCGCUUUUGUCAGGGAAGAAACGGCUCUUGAUAAUACCGAGAGCUAAUGACGGUACCUGAAGAAUAAGCACCGGCUAACUACGUGCCAGCAGCCGCCGCCG
rnacentral:rRNA from 1 species